AUUAACGCUGGCGGCGUGCAUAACACAUGCAAGUCGAACGAUGAAGAUUAUUAGACUUCUUCGGAAUGAAAAUAAUUGGAUUAGUGGCGGACGGGUGAGUAACGCGUGAGUAACCUGCCUUACACAAGGGGAUAGCCGUUGGAAACGACGAAUAAUACCCUAUGAAACUAUCACUUCGCAUGAAGCGAUAGUCAAAGUGUUAGCGGUGUAAGAUGGACUUGCGUCUGAUUAGCUAGUUGGUGAGAAAAAAGCCCACCAAGGCAACGAUCAGUAGCCGGCUUGAGAGAGUGUACGGCCACAUUGGGACUGAGACACGGCCCAGACUCCUACGGGAGGCAGCAGUGGGGAAUUUUGCACAAUGGGGGAAACCCUGAUGCAGCGACGCCGCGUGAUUUAGAAGGCCUUCGGGUUGUAAAAAUCUUUUGUAUAGGAAGAAAAUGACAGUACUAUACGAAUAAGGUCCGGCUAAUUACGUG
rnacentral:rRNA from 1 species